UAUAAAAGGCGCACGCGUGGCAUUUUUGUUCUUUCGUCCCUUCGCGCCUCCGGAAUGAGGAUCUGUUCGAGUGCGCUGCUGCCGCCUUGUGGCCGGAGGGAGACGCGGCAACACCGCCGGCCUUUCUCCCAAGUCGGCUCGAAUGCCGCAAUAGCCUUCGGUAUGUUUCCUGCUGAGUAACAUCAGAUCAAAAUGUAGAGACAAGAAAGAAGCAGAUUGAAACAAGGCAGGUACUGCACAACAGGUGGGUGUAAUGUCCCUCAACUGAACUACAGUGGAAGUUGACAAAACCUGCUUUAUCCCAACGUUCUGAGUCAUGGAAAUGGUGACGAAGGAGAAAUGCAAAUUCUCUAAUAUCUUUCUCAAGAAAUGGAGUCACGGAUGGUUUCUAUUUAGAGGUUUAAGUUGUGGCAGGUCUGACACCAGGAUAGGCAGGCCUGGGCUUGUCCUAAGUCUCCAAUUGCCUCCCCCAACCAGGAGGCACCCCAAGUUCUGCUUAAUAACCUACCUGUUCAUUUAACAGUUCUUUGGAGUGUGGAGGGGUGGUUAAGUGACAAUGUUCACCUAAGGACUGCCACAACGUGUGACCUCAACAGGCAGGAUCCCUUGCAGUUGCAUCUCAAGAACUGCCUGUGUCAAUUGUGCAGUGUUUAUUUUUGCACAGGCAGAGAGAAUCCCUAAACUGCUCAAAUGCUGCAGGGAGGAUCAAAGAGGGCUGAGAGCUGCUUCUCUGUGUGGCAGUUAACAAAAAUCCAAGAACACCACCUGGUGACAAGUGAGCUGGGACUAAGAUUCCAAACAGUAGGGAUCAUCCCACUUUGGAAAUAGAUGGCACUUAGUCUGGUACUGAUGAUUUUUAAUAGUUAUAAUGCAUCAAAAUCUUGCAAUGUUCCAGUGCAUGCUGAAUAAUUUGGGCCAGCUUAAAAAGGGACUGCAUUUUUGAAAACUCAAUUUUCAGUCAUUUCAUUUUUGCUGCCUUUUGUAUGAGCCAUUCCAAUAUAUCUAAUACCUUGCUGCUAAGAAAAAGCGUUAUAGUAAAAUGAAAAAUCAUUGCAGUAAACUUUGGAAGUUCUUCAGUGCCAGUUGUUACUAUUUUCCUGUGAAAUGACUAUUGUACAUCAUUUAUAAGCCAAUUCUGUUGUGGCAGAUAAACUUAUUUUGAUCCUUAUUUACGAAUAAAAAAAGUUAACAAUUUGAAAA